UCUAAUCCGUGCAAUAAUAACACAAAACGCUGGAGACUUGGAAGUGGUCAGGAUCCGGACUGAAGGAUUUCAGAAAGUGGUCCUGCGUUGAAUAGUCAAGUUUUGAAAGUGUGGCGGCUGUCCAGCGUGUCCGGUAUGUGGGAGACGUCCUUUGGUGACGAUGUGGGAGCUGAGUGGGCGUCCUCGAGGUAGCCGAGAGAGUAAGCAGGUUUUCCCACUUCUGCUGACGCUACGAAUGCGCGUGGGACAACCGGACAAGGGCAGUUAGGACGCCGUCAAGAGAUUUAAUUAAGGCACAGCGAGGAUGAGGAGACAAGCAGUGCCACAGAUGGUGAACAGCACACACAGGUUCAGUCGCCUGCCAAACCUGCAAAGAUAGAUGGAGUAAGCAGAGGGACAAAGACCAGCUAGGUGAAAGACCAGCAGGUGAGAGCCAAGUGACGUCUUGUGGUGGAAUACUGUGACACUGCAGGAAAAACAUCACAUAUGGUCAGGGUUAAGGGAGGCUAAAAUGACAAAGGAGAGAAAGGGAAAAGAUUUUAAAACUAUUAAAAUAAAAAGUAAAUUAAAUCCUUAAGUGAAUAUAGAAAAGAUAGAUCUGAUGGAGGAGGGGAAGAAAAAUAUUACAUAUGAAAAGUGGAUGUCAGUUGAGUUAAAGGAGGAAAGAAAAAUAUUUUGAUUUAAAAGACCAAAAAACUUAGGAUACUAAUUAUGACAAAAGCAAAAAACUAUUACACAGCAAUCAUGAAACAAAAGUGGAGUAAAAUUUUUAAAACCUGACGUCAAUGAAACAAAACAAAAUAAAUGAAAAAUAAAAAAAUUUUCUUAAUGGGAAUAACAAAUGUAAAGUCUUUGUAAAGACAAAAAAGAAAACCUUGAUUCUGAUAAGA